AACGAACGCUGGCGGCGUGCCUAACACAUGCAAGUCAAGCGAGAAAGGGGUAGCAAUACCCUGAGUAAAGCGGCGAACGGGUGAGUAAUACGUAGGCAACCUACCCCUAAGACCGGGAUAACCCGUCGAAAGAUGGACUAAUACUGGAUAAGACCACUAGGAGCCUCGGCUCCUGUGGUAAAAAGAUAGCCUCUGCUUGCAAGCUAUCGCUUAGUGAUGGGCCUGCGCACCAUUAGCUAGUUGGUAGGGUAACGGCCUACCAAGGCAAAGAUGGUUAGCUGGUCUGAGAGGACGACCAGCCACACUGGGACUGAGACACGGCCCAGACUCCUACGGGAGGCAGCAGUGGGGAAUCUUGCGCAAUGGGUGAAAGCCUGACGCAGCAACGCCGCGUGGGUGAUGAAGGCCUUCGGGUCGUAAAGCCCUGUCGGGAGGAACGAAUUUUCCUAGAGUGAAUAAUUCUAGGAGUUGACGGUACCUCCAAAGGAAGCACCGGCUAACUCCGUGCC
rnacentral:rRNA from 1 species